AUUGAACGCUGGCGGCAGGCCUAACACAUGCAAGUCGAACGAGUGGCGGACGGGUGAGUAAUGUCUGGGAAACUGCCCGAUGGAGGGGGAUAACUACUGGAAACGGUAGCUAAUACCGCAUACCAUCGGAUGUGCCCAGAUGUGAUUAGCUAGUAGGUGGGGUAACGGCUCACCUAGGCGAAGAUCCCUAGCUGGUCUGAGAGGAUGACCAGCAAACCGGGAACUGAGACACGGUCCAGACUCCUACGGGGGGAAGCAGUGGGGAUUAUUGCAAAAGGGGCGAAAGCCGGACGCAGCAAUGCGGAGUGGAUGAAGAAGGCCUUCGGGUUGUAAAGUACUUUUGGCAGGAAAGCGGUACCUGCAGAAUAAGCACCGGCUAACUACGUGCCAGCAGCCGCGGUAAUUC
rnacentral:rRNA from 1 species